AUUGAACGCUGGCGGCAUGCCUUACACAUGCAAGUCGAACGGUAACAGGUUAAGCUGACGAGUGGCGAACGGGUGAGUAAUAUAUCGGAACGUGCCCAGUCGUGGGGGAUAACUGCUCGAAAGAGCAGCUAGUACCGCAUACGACCUGAGGGUGAAAGCGGGGGAUCGCAAGACCUCGCGCGAUUGGAGCGGCCGAUAUCAGAUUAGGUAGUUGGUGGGGUAAAGGCCCACCAAGCCAACGAUCUGUAGCUGGUCUGAGAGGACGACCAGCCACACUGGGACUGAGACACGGCCCAGACUCCUACGGGAGGCAGCAGUGGGGAAUUUUGGACAAUGGGCGCAAGCCUGAUCCAGCCAUGCCGCGUGCGGGAAGAAGGCCUUCGGGUUGUAAACCGCUUUUGUCAGGGAAGAAAAGGCUUCUGCUAAUACCGGAGGCUCAUGACGGUACCUGAAGAAUAAGCACCUGCUAACUACGUGCCAGCCGCCGCCGUAACAC
rnacentral:rRNA from 1 species